UACAGAGAGUGCAAACGUUGUUCGGAAUUACUGGGCUUAAAGCGCGCGUAGGCUGCAUCGUAAGUGUCUGGUGAAAUCCCACGGCUCACCCGUGGAACUGCCAGGCAUACUGCGGUGCUAGAGUGUGGUAGGGGAGAGCGGAACUCCUGGUGGAGCGGUGAAAUGCGUAGAUAUCAGGAGGAACACCGGUGGCGAAGGCGGCUCUCUGGUCCAUAACUGACGCUGAGGUGCGAAAGCUAGGGGAGCAAACGGG
rnacentral:rRNA from 1 species